UGUCCCUCUUCCUCUUCCGGUCACUCCCGGAACCACCAGAGGACGCGUGGCUCCUAGACCUUUGCUUAGCCUCCUCGGCCAGGUUGAUCUCUACCAUAGCCAUCCUCUCCACGAGCUCAGACACUGUCUGGAAAUGACCAACCGAGCAGUAGGUUCGAAGUUUGACCCUUAGGCCUCAAACAAACAUACGUAUCUGCACUGUCUCCUCUUCCAGCUCUUUACCUACGUAACGU
rnacentral:lncRNA from 1 species